rnacentral:rRNA from 1 species
UGCGUAGGUGGUUUGAUAAGUUGGCUGUGAAAUACCGGGCUUAACCUUGGGGCGUCAGCCAAGACUGUCAGGCUUGAGUAUAGGAGAGGGCAGUGGAAUUUCCGGUGUAGCGGUGAAAUGCGUAGAGAUCGGAAGGAACACCAGUGGCGAAGGCGUCUGCCUGGCCUAAUACUGACACUGAGGCACGAAAGCGUGGGUAGCAAACA